rnacentral:rRNA from 1 species
UACGUAGGUGACAAGCGUUGUCCGGAAUUAUUGGGCGUAAAGCGCGCGCAGGCGGUCUUUUAAGUCUGAUGUGAAAUCUCGGGGCUCAACCCCGAGCGGUCAUUGGAAACUGGGAGACUUGAGUACAGAAGAGGAGAGUGGAAUUCCACGUGUAGCGGUGAAAUGCGUAGAUAUGUGGAGGAACACCAGUGGCGAAGGCGACUCUCUGGUCUGUAACUGACGCUGAGGCGCGAAAGCGUGGGGAGCAAAC